rnacentral:rRNA from 1 species
AUGCGCGGCGAGUCCGCGGCUGUGCGGUGUGAUGUCGUGCGCGUGAAGAGCACGGUGGUCGCGAAGACAAGGGGGUCGCGGAGGACCUGCGUGGUGGCGCAGAAGUCGCGGCGGCUCGGCGCGACAACCGUGGAGGCGCGUGGCACGGAGCUGCAGCGGCCGCGGUGGACCUGCGUGGUGGCGCAGAGGCUGCGGUGGCGCAGCGUGGCGGCAUGGAAGUGCUGCACUACGGUUGAGGCCGCAGCGGUGCAGGGCAAUAAGCCGUGGCGGCGAGCCGGGCGCGACCGGUGCGUGUUAUGGGUGGGCACUGGACGCGUCGGGACCGCGGGCGCGCGUACGAGCGUGCGGUUGACGUUGGGAGGAGGCGUAUGUCGCCGUUGUGCCCGAGUUCGUGCUCGAAUUCGGCUACAUCCUUCCGGCGUUUGUCGCUGGCGGCUGCCAUGGAGAACGAGGAAGCGGCGCGCGGUGAGCGGCUGGUGCGGUCGGGCUCGUCGGGCGCGUCGGAUGCGCGCGGGACGGGCGGGACACACUGGUGUGGUCGGGUUCGUUGGGCGCGUCAGGUGCGCGCGGGAUAUGCAGGACGCACUGGGGCGGUCGGGCGCGUCGGGUGCGCGCGGGACGUGCGGGGCGCUGAGGGACGUCAUGCGUGUGUCGCAGCGGAGGAGGAGCUCGGCAUGUGUCGUCGGAAUCAUGACGGAGCACGGUGCGACCGGUGUCGUUGCGCCAGGUCGGGUCCGUGGGCUGGAUCACGCUCAUGACGACGACAACGACGGGAGCUGCAACAACUCCGACGACGGCGAGGUCAUGACUUAG